rnacentral:rRNA from 1 species
CCGUGGGCGCUGGAGAAUUGAGGGGGGCUGCUCCUAGUACGAGAGGACCGGAGUGGACGCAUCACUGGUGUUCGGGUUGUCAUGCCAAUGGCACUGCCCGGUAGCUAAAUGCGGAAGAGAUAAGUGCUGAAAGCAUCUAAGCACGAAACUUGCCCCGAGAUGAGUUCUCCCUGACUCCUUGAGAGUCCUGAAGGAACGUUGAAGACGACGACGUUGAUAGGCCGGGUGUGUAAGCGCAGCGAUGCGUUGAGCUAACCGGUACUAAUGAACCGUGAGGCUUAACCUUACAACGCCGAAG